GAUGAACGCUGGCGGCGUGCUUAACACAUGCAAGUCGAACGAAGCAUGUAUGAAAGAUCUCUUCGGAGUGAUGGAAUACAUGUCUGAGUGGCGGACGGGUGAGUAACGCGUGGAUAACCUGCCUUACACAGGGGGACAACAGUUAGAAAUGACUGCUAAUACCGCAUAAGCGCACAGUACCGCAUGGUACGGUGUGAAAAACUCCGGUGGUGUAAGAUGGAUCCGCGUCUGAUUAGCUAGUUGGUGAGGUAAUGGCCCACCAAGGCGACGAUCAGUAGCCGGCCUGAGAGGGUGAACGGCCACAUUGGGACUGAGACACGGCCCAGACUCCUACGGGAGGCAGCAGUGGGGAAUAUUGCACAAUGGGCGCAAGCCUGAUGCAGCAACGCCGCGUGAGUGAAGAAGGCCUUCGGGUCGUAAAGCUCUGUCCUGUGGGACGAAACAAAUGACGGUACCACAGGAGGAAGCCCCGGCUAACUACGUGCCAGCCGCCGCAGUAAAAC
rnacentral:rRNA from 1 species